rnacentral:rRNA from 1 species
UACAGAGGGGGCAAGCGUUGUUCGGAAUUACUGGGCGUAAAGGGCGCGUAGGUGGCCUUCUAAGUUGAACGUGAAAUCCCUGGGCUCAACCCAGGAACUGCGUCCAAGACUGGGAGGCUUGAAUCCGGGAGAGGGAUGCGGAAUUCCAGGUGUAGCGGUGAAAUGCGUAGAUAUCUGGAGGAACACCGGUGGCGAAGGCGGCAUCCUGGACCGGGAUUGACACUGAGGCGCGAAAGCCAGGGGAGCAAACAGG